rnacentral:rRNA from 1 species
GAACGCUGGCGGCGUGYCUAAUACAUGCAAGUCGAGCGGACAGAUGGGAGCUUGCUCCCUGAUGUUAGCGGCGGACGGGUGAGUAACACGUGGGUAACCUGCCUGUAAGACUGGGAUAACUCCGGGAAACCGGGGCUAAUACCGGAUGGUUGUUUGAACCGCAUGGUUCAAACAUAAAAGGUGGCUUCGGCUACCACUUACAGAUGGACCCGCGGCGCAUUAGCUAGUUGGUGAGGUAACGGCUCACCAAGGCAACGAUGCGUAGCCGACCUGAGAGGGUGAUCGGCCACACUGGGACUGAGACACGGCCCAGACUCCUACGGGAGGCAGCAGUAGGGAAUCUUCCGCAAUGGACGAAAGUCUGACGGAGCAACGCCGCGUGAGUGAUGAAGGUUUUCGGAUCGUAAAGCUCUGUUGUUAGGGAAGAACAAGUACCGUUCGAAUAGGGCG